rnacentral:rRNA from 1 species
GACGAACGCUGGCGGCGUGCCUAAUACAUGCAAGUAGAACGCAGUUGCGAACGGGGGAGUAACGCGUAGGUAACUGCCUGGUAGCGGGGGAUAACUAUUGGAAACGAUAGCUAAUACCGCAUACUACCAGAUGGACCUGCGUUGUAUUAGCUAGUUGGUGAGGUAACGGCGCACCAAGGCAACGAUACAUAGACGACCUGAGAGGGUGAUCGGCCACACUGGGGCUGAGACACGGCCCAGAGUCCUACGGGAGGCAGCCGUAGGGAGUCUUCUGCAAUGGGGGUCACCCUGACCGAGCAACGCCGCGUGAGUGAAGAAGGUGUUCGGAUCGUAAAGCUCUGUUGUUAAGGAUGCGGUACUUAGCCAGAGAGGGACGGCUAACUACGUGCCAGCAGCCGCGGUAAUUC